CAAAGGGAAGUCCCAGAAGCAAGGGCAGAGGGGGAGAGGGCUCAGGUCUGGCUGGGAGGAGAAAACGGCCCCCACUGGAGUCUGUGCAGCCUCUUUGGCUCUAGAUACAAUUUCAGCAAGAAGAUGCUGGACAGUUUCUAUGAUUAGAAGAGGCACUUAAGAAGAGGAAAGGGUUUCUCCAGAGAGGUUCCUGGUCAUCUGAGGGUUUGGAGGGUCCCAGUAGGAUUUAUAGGGAGGAAAUUGUGAUGGGUAGAAAGUCCUGGGCUCACUCUUUGAUUUUCCUACCCCAGGGUCAAUCACUGUUGAAAGGAGAGAUCUUAGCUGUAGACCUUUGGGAGAGAGAGAUUGAUUCUGGGGUCAGGAUUGUAGCUUAGUGGUCUACUACUUGCCUAGCAUGUGUAAGGCCCUCGGUUCAAUCUCCAGCACUGCAAAUUAAUUAAUUAAUUAAUUAAUUAGAUGGUUUCUUUUCUGUCCUCUGUGUGGAUUUCAUUCUCUCAGGCUUUCUGGCAGCUCUCAAGUUGUCGUCAACCCAGCUUCCCAACCAGAAAGAAAAUAGAGCUUCUCUCUCUUGGAUCCAGCAUGAAAGUUCCCAGAAAAAGAUUUUGCAUUGGCCCAGCCUGAGGGGUGCCCUAUGUCCUAGGGGUCCACUAGGCCCAUCAUAGUGGUCCUGGAAACAGGAUGACCCAUCAUGAGGUGAGUAGGCUUCCUCUACUACGAUGUGCUGCCUCAUCACAGGCCAGAAGCAAUGGGGCCAACUGACCAUGAAGUGAAACCUACAAAAUGUAACAGAAUAUGAAUAACACAAAGUGCAACAGGAAGGAAACAAAAAGAAGAAGGAGACCAUGGAUGAGUCCAGUCGACAGAGCUCUGCAGUAGUUUGAGCAAAUUAUUUAAUUCAUCUGAUUUCUUCCUGGAAAAACUGGGAGACUUUUAGAAACUUUUACACAACUCGCAGUAUUCUUUUUGUCUGUGAUAUGUACUAACUACAUAUAAUUAUUGGUUUUGAAACUACAGACCAAUCCAUGGAAAGAGCAGCUCUCAGGACUGCUUUGCUCGUCUGGACAAUGGAGAUGGCACCUGCUCAUUAAGCCAUUGGGAGAUUCAAUAAAAUAACUAAGUUAAAUCUCACAAUUCUUGGCUCCAGUAACACAUCCAACACAUUGCCUAGCAAUGAUGUGCAAAUGUAUCAGUGAUCGCUGGACGCAGUUCUCUCCCACGCAGCUUCAUGUGGGAUUUUCCUCCAUUUUAACCAGCAGAAUGCUCUUAAUUACCAGAACAGCUUCUUGUACUGGGGAAACAAAAAUACAAGAGCAACUGGUACACAGAGUGGUCACAUCUAGGCAGAGUAGGAGAGACGAAUAACGCCAGGGGAAAAUGCUCUUUUUUUACCUUGUGCAAAGCCCUUAUUUAUACCUUGCUCACUUUCAAAAAUGAUUAAUGAUGCUGUAGUAGGAUUUAAAGAGUGAAAAUCUUGCUUCAGAUUCCUACCUCACCUUGUAGGUAAAUAAUUU
rnacentral:lncRNA from 1 species